AUUAGAUACCUAAAAUUCUCAGACCAUUUUUAUAUUCUUAGUUUUUUAUAAAGUCAUUUUGUGCAUUAAUCAGAGGUUAUAGUCACGAUUAGAAAUUUUGUGACCUAUCCAAAAAUAAAAAUGCACAAUUAACAAGUGUUUGGCCAAAUUGCAACAUUCUAAAAGAAAAGAACUUAAAAUAUAUAAAAAGACAUGAAAAGACAUGUGAAUAAAAAAUGUAUAACUAUCUCCAUCGUCGGAGACUCCGUUGUUGUUUGAUUAAUCUUUUUCUUGUUUGUUGUUUGUUGUGUUCUUCGUAAUUGAUCAAUUUUAAUUCUGUUUUUUUGUUUGUUGCAAGUUCAUCGAAUAAAGGAGGCAGAAGAAGGAUCCGAGUCUCCAGGUGCAACUGUUGGAGUACGAUAUGAGGUUUGAGAGAUAUGGAAGUGAGUUCACGUUUUAUGAUUACAACGAAACUGGAGAGUUGCCACUUCAGCUGAAACAUUGCUUCCAUAUAAUUGUUGCAGAUCCUCCCUACUUGCCUCUUCUUCAAGCAAGAGAUGGAACUUUCUUUGAUAGGGCUUCAAAAUGCAGGGAAGUCUGCGAACAAGGAGCUGAAAGGGAUGAUGAAGACCGUGCAGAUUCAAGAUAUCGAUAAUUUGCAAAAUGAGAUGAUGGAUGUGAGUUCUGAGAUUCAAGAAAAGCUUGGUAGGAGCUACAAUGUUCCUGAUGGGCUUGACGAAGAUGAUCUCAGGGAGAAAUAAGCAAUGUAAUACUCGAUGUCCCGCGGGACGGCCCGCGAAGGCCUGCAUAUUUCGCGGUACGGGAUUGGACAGCUAGUUUAAGGACCGCAUCCCGCGCGGGACAGGCCCGCCGUGUACCGCCAGAAGUCGAACCCGCAGCGGUUCGGGACGGGACGGGACGGGAGAGCCCAAUUGCCAUCUCUAGGUAGAGACUCAGUUUAACA